rfam:Arabidopsis thaliana chromosome 1, complete sequence.
AUCGUUGACCCGGUCAAAGCGACUCAUUGUUAACACUUCUUAACAGCUCUCCUAACAGCGUAACUAACAACUGUUUUCGUCCUUAAACCAACGAUAACGGCUGUUAGGCCAUGUUUUGUAAGGGCUGUUAGGAGCGCUGUUAAGGAGUGUUAACGGUGAGUCGAUUUGGCCUGGUCAACGAU